rnacentral:rRNA from 1 species
GAUGAACGCUGGCGGCGUGCCUAAUACAUGCAAGUCGAGCGAACGGACGAGAAGUUUGCUUCUCUGAUGUUAGCGGCGGACGGGUGAGUGACACGUGGAUAACCUACCUAUAAGACUGGGAUAACUUCGGAAAACCGGAGCUAAUACCGGAUAAUAUUUUGAACCGCAUGGUUCAAAAGUGAAAGACGGUCUUGCUGUCACUUAUAGAUGGAUCCGCGCUGCAUUAGCUAGUUGGUAAGGUAACGGCUUACCAAGGCAACGAUGCAUAGCCGACCUGAGAGGGUGAUCGGCCACACUGGAACUGGGACACGGUCCAGACUCCUACGGGAGGCAGCAGUAGGGAAUCGUCCGCAAUGGGCGAAAGCCUGACGGAGCAACGCCGCGUGAGUGAUGAAGGUCUUCGGAUCGUAAAACUCUGUUAUGAGGGAAGAACAUAUGUGUAAGUAACUGAGCACAUCUUGACGGUACCUAAUCAGAAAGCCACGGCUAACUACGUG